GAUGAAGAACGCAGCGAAAUGCGAUACUUGGUGUGAAUUGCAGAAUCCCGUGAACCAUCGAGUCUUUGAACGCAAGUUGCGCCCGAAGCCAUUAGGCCGAGGGCACGCCUGCCUGGGCGUCACACGUCGUUGCCCCCCCAUCUACUCCUUCGGGAUUGCGGGGGGCGGAUGAUGGCCUCCCGUGCGCCUUGUCGCGCGGUUGGCAUAAAUACCAAGUCCUCGGCGACGCACGCCACGACAAUCGGUGGUUGCGAAACCUCGGUUGCCCGUCGUGUGCGGUCGUCGCGCAUCGAGGGCUCGAAAAAAUUGCCGGGCUCCGGCUCGGCUUUCAACGCGACCCCAGGUCAGGCGGGGUUACCCGCUGAAUUUAAGCAUAUCAAUAAGCGGAGGA
rnacentral:misc_RNA from 1 species